rnacentral:tRNA from 1 species
GUUUUAAUAAUUUAAAAAAAAUUCUGGUCUUGUAAAUCAGCUUUAGAUAAUUCUUUAAAACU